UCUUCGACUUCAGCGUAGAGGAGGCGUUCCAUCCAUGGCGGUUUCUUCUUCUCCGCAACCAUCUCCACCAACUGUAGGCAGUCCGAUUCCACUAUUAGUCGAUCCUGGUGACGCUCAUGCUGGAUCAGAUGUUGAAUCGAGAAUUUCAGAGCAUAAAGCUCCGCCUGGAAAGCCGAUUGAGCUGAGAAGCUUCGGGUAAAAACAUCGGAGGUUUCCAUCGUUGAUCGGGGCUGAGGGACGAGAGUGGAAGGCUGUGAGGAGUUGGGUCGACAACCUUAUCUAUCCUGCUCUGUGCAAGGGCAUCCUCCACUGCUCGGAUGGGGUCUGGACUAUGGUUUCUGAAGAUGAAAUUGUUGCGCUGACGCCAGAUCUGCCACAACAAAUUUGCGAUUACCUCAAAGUCAUGGGACUCCUUCGAAUCAGUGGCUCUGGCUGCGACCCAAGCAUCAAAACGCUGCACUGAAGUAGGGGGAGCUUGAAGAUCGACAUUGCAUACUGAGGAAAACAUCUCCCGUUUCGAUCGCCCCCAAUCUGAAGGGAUACCCAGUGCUGCUGAAAGAAGAGGCCAUUAAGACCAUCGGGCCCUGGAGCCUUUGAAGCACCCAGCUGAAAAGUUGCCUGGUACACCUCAUCUUCC